AGCUCCAAUAGCGUAUAUUAAAGUUGUUGCGGUUAAAAGCUCGUAGUUGGAUUUCUGCUGAAGACAACCGGUCUGCCCUCUGGGUGAGCAUCUGGUUUGGAUUCGGCAUCAUCUUUGAGAACGUAGCUGCACUUGACUGUGUGGUGCGGUAUCUUAGACUUUUACUUUGAGGAAAUCAGAGUGCUUCAAGCAGGCAAAUGCCUUGGAUACAUUAGCAUGGAAUAAUAUUUUAGGACCUUGGUUCUAUUUUGUUGGUUUCUAGAAUUGAGGUAACGUUUAAUAGGGAUAAUUGGGGGCAUUCGUAUUUAACUGUCAGAGGUGAAAUUCUUGGAUUUGUUAAAGACGGACCAAUGCGAAAGCAUUUGCCAAGGAUGUUUUCU
rnacentral:rRNA from 1 species